GUCAACGUGUCUGUGUUUGUAUGGAGUCAGAAGUCUCUGUGUGUAUGUGUGUAUGGACUCAGCAGUGUGUGUAUGGACUCAGCAGUCUGUGUGUGUGUGUGUGUGUGUAUGGACUCAGCAGUCUGUGUGUCUGUGUGUGUGUGUAUGGACUCAGCAGUCUGUCUGUGUUUGUAUGGACUCAGCAGUCUGUGUGUGUGUGUGUG